rnacentral:rRNA from 1 species
UACGUAGGGUGCAAGCGUUGUCCGGAAUUAUUGGGCGUAAAGAGCUUGUAGGCGGUUUGUCGCGUCUGCCGUGAAAAUCCGGGGCUCAACCCCGGACUUGCGGUGGGUACGGGCAGACUAGAGUGUGGUAGGGGAGACUGGAAUUCCUGGUGUAGCGGUGAAAUGCGCAGAUAUCAGGAGGAACACCGGUGGCGAAGGCGGGUCUCUGGGCAACAACUGACGCUGAGGAGCGAAAGCGUGGGGAGCGAACAGG